rnacentral:rRNA from 1 species
GUGCACCAGUCGAGAAAACUUCACACUGUGCGAAAGCACGAUGAGGGAAUCCCAAGUGCUUGCACGUAAGUGUAAGCUGUUUCUCUGUCUAAAACGCAGAGAGAGUAAGGGCUGGGUAAGACGGGUGCCAGCCGCCGCGGUAACUACCUGCAGCCUCAAGUGGUGACCGGUUAUUAUUGGGCCUAAAACGUCCGUAGCCGGUUUAAUAAAUGCCUGGGUAAAUUGUGUAGCUUAACUAUACGAAUUCCGGGUAGACUGUUAAACUUGAGACCGGGAGAAGUUAGAGGUACUCCUGGGGUAGAGGUGAAAUUCUGUAAUCCUAGGGGGACCACCAGUGGCGAAGGCGUCUAACUAGAACGGGUCUGACGGUGAGGGACGAAGCCCUAGGGCGC